CAAUAGCGUAUAUUAAAGUUGUUGCAGUUAGAACGCUCGUAGUCGGAUUUCGGGGCGGGGCGACCGGUCUGCCGAUGGGUAUGCACUGGUCGGCGCGUCCUUCCUUCCGGAGACCGUUCCUACUCUUAACUGAGCGGGGGCGGGAGACGGAUCGUUUACUUUGAAAAAAUCAGAGUGUUUCAAGCAGGCAGCUCGCUCUUGCAUGGAUUAGCACGGGAUAAUGAAAUAGGACUUUGGUGCUAUUUUGUUGGUUUCGAACACCGAAGUAAUGAUUAAAAGGGACAGUCAGGGGCACUCGUAUUCCGCCGAGAGAGGUGAAAUUCUCAGACCAGCGGAAGACGAACCACUGCGAAAGCAUUUGCCAGGGAUGUUUUCACUGA
rnacentral:rRNA from 1 species